CUGUCUCCUGUGUCAUUGCAACUCCAUUUCAAAGGGAUGAAGUAGGAGGAGAAAGAGGAACUUGGGAAUUAUUAAGCAGUGAAAAUGGCUGGGCACCUUUGAUGGAUGGCAUCCUGUCAAGCACAGAGUCUUUUCUCUGUGUGUGAUUGUUGGUGACAUUUGCUUUUCUGCAGCUUGUGGCUCCUUGGCAGAGGCAUCGUUGGAGAAGGCCACUUCAGCAAGGAGAACAGCUGGAGGUCUCACGGUAGGAGGAAACAAGCCCUUCACCAAGGAAGACUAAGCUUCCAUCACCUUGUGGCCUGUUGUGCUGUCACCAGGCAGGAGUUAGUAAGAAAUUAGAAAGACUCCGGUCUCCUCUUCUCAUCACUGCACGUGACUAUCUUGAGAUCACUCCUGUCUGCGCGGUGCUGUGGGCUCUCCUCCAUCACUGAGUGACUUGGAACAUGAACUUGCUUCGACAGGUAUAAUGGCUAGAACCCUAGCAGCUGCCUUGGGAAGAUGAGAACACACUGUAGCAUGGCAGAGUGAUAAACUGGAUGCAGAGGAGAGAGAAAAUGCCGAAUAGU